rnacentral:piRNA from 1 species
UGCCCAUGGAGGAACCUAUGAAAUAGACCC